AAACUGCAUCAUCUUCACCUCACCAUGGCCUCAGUAACUUCCAUCCUUAAAUUCUUCUCACUACUAGCCGCCUCAUUUGCCAUUGUUCAAAUGGCAAUGGCAGGAGACCCAGACAUAGUUUCUGAUUUCUUAGUCCCAUCAAAUAUGACCGGAGUUGAUGGUGCAUUCUUCACAUUCACUGGCAUGCGUUCCCUUAUUGGUGCUGAACCACCUACUGCUUUCAAGGUCUUGAAAGCGAGCAUGGCAGAAUUCCCUACUCUCAAUGGACAGAGUGUUUCUUAUGCUGUCCUUCAGUACCCUGCCGGCGCUCCAAACCCACCUCACACUCAUCCUCGCUCAGCUGAGCUACUUUUCCUCGUCUAUGGAUCUCUCCAAGUAGGAUUCAUCGACACCACUAACAAGCUCUUCGCUCAGACACUGCAAACUGGUGAUUUGUUUGUAUUUCCUAAGGGACUUGUUCACUUCCAAUACAAUGCAGAUGCACAGAAACCUGCUUUUGCAAUUUCAGCUUUUGGAAGUGCAAAUGCAGGGACUAUAUCAGUUCCCAACACCAUAUUCACCACUGGCAUUGACGAUAACAUCCUGGCUAAAUCCUUCAAGACUGAUGUUGCCACCAUUCAGGCUAUCAAGGCUGGUCUUGCACCCAAGUCCUGAAUGUAGGCAUCCCCAUCAUUACUUUCUUUCAUACCAUUCGUUUGUUGUCAUGUUAUUUCAGCUACUGUUAUUCCUCUUUUGUUCAGUAUCCUUGAUUGAGUGUUGAAUAACUUGCCUAAGAACUCACAAGGAUAGAAAUUG
rnacentral:misc_RNA from 1 species